ACUAAAUAAUGCAACACUAGACUUCCUUUGUAGGUGUGAGUCCUUUAGUUUACAGACAUCACAGCAAAGGUGGCAUCUGUGACUGAGGGACUGUCUGUAGAGCCAGUAAAGAACAACCAUCUUUACACUGAACUCAUGAACAGAGAGGAACAACCAGACUAAAGACAACAAUGCUCUGACUACUCUUUUCUGCUUUGAGCCAUGCUGCUGAGUGGAUCGCUUCCUGCUGCUGCUGUGGCUCAAAGAAGGACAAGACAGGAUGACUGUACCAGUGUAGAGGGCAGAAAGUGUGGACAGUCUCUGGAGAUGAAACAACGUCCAAAAGUCAAAUUCCAACAUAACUGCUCCGAGUGGGAAUGGCAGGAGAGUCUCUGAGGGUUAUUUCAUCUGUGGCUGCUCUGUGCUCGUCUUGAUGAUGACCCAUCCACAAACUUUUAUGGAAGUAGGAUGAUGUCUGACAUUUGACAAGUGCAGCAGCAGCUCAGAAAUGUCACAAAUUCUACUUUAUACAACAAUAGCUUAUAUAUAAAGACCCAAAUGUUAUUAAAAAAAGA